AUCAGCCUGGCUGAAGGAGUGAUGUGUGGAAAUGUUAACAUUUACUGGCUUUUCUGAACCCAUUGGAUCUCCUCACUCCUCUAGCCUGGGAAAACACCUGUUAUGCUUCCACAGAGCUGACCAAUUUUUUUCUGCUUUACACGUGGAAAUGCAAUUUCCUUUAGCCUUCAGAGUCGACAUUUGUAGGGAAAUCUCCUGCUUGUUUUUCUCAUCUCUGUUUCCAUUUCAAAAUGUCUCAGCAAGUUUUUCUCCAAGCAAACUCUGCAUAAAUGAAUGUAUAGCAGCAUUUGCUACACAUUAGAGUCCAGGGUAUUGUGUAUACAUCGAAUAAUUUUGUAGAAGAAAUCCUCUAGCGUGAAGGCAAGAGCAAGCUAAGGCAGGCUCUGAGGAUUAAGACCUGCAAGUAUGUCAUUAUCACACACUGGCUGACCCUGUGGAGCCCCAUUCAAAAAGUGAACAUACAUUCAAAUUGGGAAGAGCUGCAGCAGCAAUUCCUCCUUAACGAAUUGGGGCAGGGAAGGAGAGCUGGAGACAGUUUGGAAUAUCUUCCUUUACAAUGUCACUAAAGUCAAGGGUGGGACCAGGUGGAGAUAACUGAAUUAUGGGGGCA